GUAGGUGGGCAAGCGUUGUCCGGAAUUAUUGGGCGUAAAGCGCGCGCAGGGCGGUCCUUUAAGUCUGAUGUGAAAGCCCACGGCUCAACCGUGGAGGGUCAUUGGAAACUGGGGGACUUGAGUACAGAAGAGGAAAGCGGAAUUCCAAGUGUAGCGGUGAAAUGCGUAGAGAUUUGGAGGAACACCAGUGGCGAAGGCGGCUUUCUGGUCUGUAACUGACGCUGAGGCGCGAAAGCGUGGGGAGCAAACAGGAUUAGAUACCCUGGUAGUCCACGCCGUAAACGAUGAGUGCUAAGUGUUAGGGGGGUUUCCGCCCCUUAGUGCUGCAGCUAACGCAUUAAGCACUCCGCCUGGGGAGUACGGCCGCAAGGCUA
rnacentral:rRNA from 1 species